AGAGUUGAUCCUGGCUUAGGAUGAACGCUAGCGACAGGCCUAACACAUGCAAGUCGAGGGGCAGCACAAGGAGUAAUCUGAGGUGGCGACCGGCGCACGGGUGAGUAACGCGUAUGCAACCUGCCUUUAAGCGGGGGAUAACCCGGAGAAAUCCGGACUAAUACCGCAUAAUACCUAUUUACUGCAUGGUAAAUAGUUUAAACAUUUAUGGCUUACAGAUGGGCAUGCGUAUGAUUAGCUGGUUGGUGAGGUAACGGCUCACCAAGGCAACGAUCAUUAGGGGUUCUGAGAGGAAGGUCCCCACACUGGUACUGAGACACGGACCAGACUCCUACGGGAGGCAGCAGUGAGGAAUAUUGGUCAAUGGGCGAGAGCCUGAACCAGCCAAGUCGCGUGAAGGAAAGAAGGUUCUAUGGAUUGUAAACUUCUUUUGCAUGGGAAUAAAGUGAGCUACGUGUAGUUUAUUGUAUGUACUGUGCGAAUAAGGAUCGGCUAACUCCGUGCCAGCCGCCGC
rnacentral:rRNA from 1 species